AGCAGCCGCGGUAAUUCCAGCUCCAAUAGCGUAUAUUAAAGUUGUUGCAGUUAAAAAGCUCGUAGUUGAAUUUCGGGAUCAAUAUAUUGGUCGUGCCUCCGGUAUGCACUGGUAUCAUUGAUUUCUACCUUCUGACAAACUAUGAUGUCAUUAAUUUGGUGUCAUAGGGAUCAGGACUGUUACUUUGAAAAAAUUAGAGUGUUUAAAGCAAGCACACGCUUGAAUACAUUAGCAUGGAAUAAUGAAAUGGGAUGUUUGACCCUAUUUUGUUGGUUUCUAAGAUCGACGUAAUGAUUAAUAGGGAUAGUUGGGGGCAUUAGUAUUCAAUUGUCAGAAGUGAAAUUCUUGGAUUUAUUGAAGACUAACUACUGCGAAAGCAUUUGCCAAGGAUGUUUUCAUUAAUCAAGAACGAAAGUUAGGGGAUCGAAGACGAUCAGAUACCGUCGUAGUCUUAACCAUAAACUAUGCUGACUAGGGAUCGGAUGAUGUUAAUUUUUUAAUGUA
rnacentral:rRNA from 1 species